GAGAUAUAGAAGAGGUCCAGAGAACCCACAUCUGCUCCGGAGAAGUUGAAGUCUUCAAACGAACCGGUCUCUGCUACAGAUUCUCAUAAAUUUUUUGUUCGGGAUCGUUUUAUCAGCUACGUUUCCGAGCAUCAUGAAAUGGAACGCAGCCGCCCUUUCUGUUGUGGCCCUUAUGGCCUCACCCGUCGCAGCGUCGUUGGAGGAGUCUGCAGGAGUUGGACUAAGGACCCACUCGAGGGUGGAGAGAGACUAUAGCUAUGGAGGACGAACAGAAGGCUAUGGAGGAACAGGCAGUGGAGCGGAUGGGGGAUAUGGAG